GACCACCAUCGAGAUGGGAUGAGACAGUAAUAUGUUCCAUUCCAUGGAGCAAUAGGAAUACCUCCAUCCCUCGGAUUUUAAAACCUUGGGCUGACCACGGUCCACAAUGGUUAGGGCAGUUUGUCCUACAAUUUCAUGCACUUCCUAUAUAGCAUAACUGCAAGCCAAAGAUCCUAUCUGAAAUAAAGUGAACAUCUUUGGGCCAUGGUCACUUGGCU
rnacentral:lncRNA from 1 species